GAAGCCGAACAAAAGAGGCUGAGGGAGCAGCAAAGCCCAAGCGGCGGGCAAGAAGCCGAAGGGCGCAGACGGGCGGGCAGGCUUACCUCUUGAAGACUAGGUUGACAAAUCCUUCCCAAAAUUUAUUUAUAUUCCAACUUUCUUCCUGUGCACAACCUGAAGAUGCUCACAACAUGACUUAAAACAGUACAUACAUCCAUUUGCUUCAGAGCGUUGGAAGAUUCUUCAGAUCAGAUUUGCUGGGGACAUCAGAGGAACCACAAGAAAGCAGAAUCCCAUUGCAUCUCUGUUUUUCUUCUCUCAAAGGAGGCCACUGUAGGCACUAUAUUCAGAAAACAGCCACUGAGUACCUAUUUCAGAUAUAUUGUGUAAUAGAAUUACGUUAAUGAUAUAUUUUAUGAUUUAAUGCUCUGUUGUAACACAGCCAUCACAAAUGCGCAAGAGCAGAGUCAGCUGCCUCUGUUCUUAUUUCCUUCUCACUCUAUGGAGCCACAAGCAUCUGAGAGAAGAAGUGCUGUUUUGUUGUUUAAUCAAUGGCAUCUUUUUUAACACGUGAAAUCAUCCAGACCUUGCAGAUGAAAACACACACGCACACCCCACGGACAUAUGUUAACAAUUCCUGUACUCAACACUCAACAAAUGUUUCAUUGUCACACAUUUUAAAAAAUAGGUUGUAAGUUCUGUGCUUAUAAAAAUGACACUAGAGCUCAUAUCUGUCUGGAAUC